UAAAGUUAUUUUGCAGAUAUGUAUCAUAAAACUUAAAUUAUUAAGUUCAAGUCUAGAUACAGACUAUUUCACUGAGCUUUAGUGAAUUUCCCUUUAGAAGAUAUUCUAAUUUAUGACUGCUUAAGUAGAGGGUACAAUAGUUUGCAUUAAAAAAUAGAACUGGAGGCUCUUUCUCUGCACUGUAGUGCUGCAGCCAUAUCUACCAGCUACUGUCAAACGUUCAUCUUUUUUGAAUCCCCAAAUUCUUUUUUUUUUUUACAGAAUGGUAAGCUUGGGCUAUGAACCAGGAUUUAUAUAGUUGUUUCAGGAAUGUUUUUCUUAAAGCGCACGACAAUAAAAACUUGAUUAGAGGACUGCAGCUUCUCAUCCUGGAGGGAACAAAAGCUCUCUUGGUUUUCUUAAAGGUGGCUCACCUGAUGGUAAAGGCACUGCCUGGAAUAUUUUGCAGAUUGGCGUUUCUGUUUGUUGAUUCCAUAUUAAACAGAAUAACCAAGCAUGCUGAAGCUCUCAUUAAGAAGCACCUGCCCUUGGAACGUAUUAUAUUCUGAGCUGCAUUGGACAAGGACUUAUUGGAAGAUAAAUGGAAGUCAAUACUAGGCUUUUUCAAAGUAAACAAAAAAUAGACUUUUCUACUCCAUGUAUAAAAAACCUCCUUUCUACACCACCUCCUUAGUGCUGAAAGACAGAAAGAAGGAAAGGUUAUCUCAGUUACUUCUGUGUCUAGUGUCUAGAUAAUGAAUAGAUCCCUCAAAGAUGCUGAUGGGGUGCAAUGUGUUUGGAAUAUGCCAAAGUGGAUCCAGAUACUUCCAUUGUUUCGUUGAGUUAAGUGUGUGGGUCUGGCCCUCACAUGCAGGGUGAAUUAAAUACUUCCUUGCCAGAAGCUCAGCCAUAGGAUCUGUGUGUUCCCACUUCCUGUCCUCUGGUUUAGCACAGGGAUCUCAGCAGUGGCUCUUCUCUGCUGGACCCUACACUGCAGUGGUUGCUGUAGCCAAAUGGAAAAUAUUGAGCUGGGCAGAUGGAGCAACCCAGCUGCACUGUAGAGAAUGCAACAUCUGGGCAGUUGCGGGCUCUUGUCUCUCUCACUCCUCUAACCACCCCCUGCAGGGCCAGGAAGGGCUCCCUGCCUUGGUGGUCCCUGCUUGGCUUCAGACCCAACUGCUGCAGCCCCUUGUGUGGGAGCAGGCAGUGCUGGCCUGGUUUCCUGCGCCUCCAGGCUGAGAGAAAGCGCUGCGGAGGCAGCCAAAAAGGGGCUGUGUCACUCACUGUGUUAGCCUGAGUGGACAUGGGUGAUGCCAUAGCUGUGCGCAGUCAACACUGCAGCCCUUAAUCACUGAAAGUCUGGAGAAGUGAGAUGGUCUUAAAUAUCUUAAUGUCAAGAAAAAUAAGUCUGAAAGGUGUAUUUCUCGUCUAGCACUGGCUCUUGCAGUUCUGUUCAGGAUCACACUGACUUGCUGUUCAGUGGGAUUACCAUCCUCAGGUGGCCAAGUGGUUCUGGGGGACAGAGCUCCCUCAGGAAAACAGUGAGUCCUCCAAUGCCUGUAGCAUGAU
ensembl:lncRNA